GGAUGGGUGCUAUGCGGCGAAUGGUUGUGAACCAUGUCAGGCGGGGAACCGAGCAGCAUUAAGCAAUACGUUUCGUGCGAUUUAGUUAAUUCGUUCGGC
rnacentral:SRP_RNA from 1 species